CAAAAACAUGGCUAUUAUGAGAUUAUUUAUAGUCUAGCCUCCUCACUGAUAGAAAUUAUUAAAUAGCCGCGGUAUUUUGACCGUGCAAAGGUAGCAUAAUCAUUAGUUUUUUAAUUGAAAACUUGUAUGAAUGGUUGGACAAAGAAGAGACUGUCUCUUGUGUUAUAAUUGAAUUUAACUUUUAAGUGAAAAGGCUUAAAUAUUCUAGAGGGACGAUAAGACCCUAUAAAGCUUUAUAAAUUUGAAGAUUUUGUGUAUUUUUAUAUAAAAAUGAAUUUUUGAAGAUUUUAUUUGGUUGGGGCGACAAUGGUAUAAUGAGAAUAACUGCUAUUAAAAUUAACAAUUAUAUUUGAAUUAUUAAUAAUUGAUCCUUUAUAAGGAUUUUAAGAUCAAGUUACUUUAGGGAUAACAGCGUUAUUUUUCUUGAGAGUUCUUAUCAAAGGAAAAGUUUGCGACCUCGAUGUUGAAUUAAAAUGUCUAUAUAGUGCAGCAGCUAUAAAAGAAGGUCUGUUCGACCUUUAAUGUUUUACAUGAUUUGAGUUC
rnacentral:rRNA from 1 species